rnacentral:rRNA from 1 species
GACGAACGCUGGCGGCGUGCUUAACACAUGCAAGUCGAACGGAAAGGCCCUGCUUGCAGGGUACUCGAGUGGCGAACGGGUGAGUAACACGUGGGUGAUCUGCCCUGCACUUCGGGAUAAGCCUGGGAAACUGGGUCUAAUACCGGAUAGGAGCCAUUUUUAGUGUGAUGGUUGGAAAGUUUUUUCGGUGUAGGAUGAGCUCGCGGCCUAUCAGCUUGUUGGUGGGGUAAUGGCCUACCAAGGCGGCGACGGGUAGCCGGCCUGAGAGGGUGGACGGCUACAUUGGGACCGAGAUACGGCCCAGACUCCUACGGGAGGCAGCAGGGGGGAAUAUUGCACAAUGGGCGCAAGCCUGAUGCAGCGACGCCGCGUGGGGGAUGACGGCCUUCGGGUUGUAAACUCCUUUCGCUAGGGACGAAGCUUUUUGAGACGGUACCUAGAUAAGAAGCACCGGCUAACUACGUG